rnacentral:rRNA from 1 species
UACAGAGGUCCCAAGCGUUGUUCGGAUUCACUGGGCGUAAAGGGUGCGUAGGUGGCCGGGUAAGUCUGACGUGAAAUCUCCGAGCCUAACUCGGAAACUGCAUCGGAUACUAUCCGGCUCGAGGGUUGGAGGGGGGGACUGGAAUACUUGGUGUAGCAGUGAAAUGCGUAGAUAUCAAGUGGAACACCAGUGGCGAAGGCGAGUCCCUGGACAACUCCUGACACUGAGGCACGAAAGCUAGGGGAGCAAACAGG